UUGUAUCCCUACUCUCACCUAGUGACUCAUCUAAAAAAGAGAAUGCAGCCUUGAAGUCGGACCGGUUGGCGUUGAUAGGAGCCGCGAAAUGUGCAGGUAUUAUCCUUUUAAAUUUCCAAUCUUUCGUUAUACUAUCAACCCAGUCCCUCACGUUUUCAGGAACUUUGUUGAAAACCAAUGUUUUGAUGAUAGGCGAAACAAUCAAUUUCUGAGACAUCUGAUCAAAGCUUGCGGUGGGAUUCAGAAGAUUAGAUGGGCCCAAAAACAGAAUCUGGAGAACCAUUCUCUCCCACCCUGUUAAAACAAAAUUAGGAUUCUAUGGAAAAAUCUGAAAUACAAAAAUAAUCUACC
rnacentral:lncRNA from 1 species